rnacentral:rRNA from 2 species
UAGUCAGACAUGUCUAGUAUAGCACUAUACUGUGAAACUGCGAAUGGCUCAUUAAAUCAGUUAUCGUUUAUUUGAUAGUACCUUACUACUUGGAUAACCGUGGUAAUUCUAGAGCUAAUACAUGCUAAAAACCUCGACUUCGGAAGGGGUGUAUUUAUUAGAUAAAAAACCAAUGCCCUUCGGGGCUCCUUGGUGAUUCAUAAUAACUUAUCGAAUCGCAUGGCCUUGUGCCGGCGAUGGUUCAUUCAAAUUUCUGCCCUAUCAACUUUCGAUGGUAGGAUAGUGGCCUACCAUGGUUUCAACGGGUAACGGGGAAUUAGGGUUCUAUUCCGGAGAGGGAGCCUGAGACACGGCUACCACAUCCAAGGAAGGCAGCAGGCGCGCAAAUUACCCAAUCCCGACGCGGGGAGGUAGUGACAAUAAAUACUGAUACAGGACUCUUUUGGGUCUUGUAAUUGGAAUGAGUACAAUUUAAAUCCCUUAACGAGGAACAAUUGGAGGGCAAGUCUGGUGCCAGCAGCCGCGGUAAUUCCAGCUCCAAUAGCGUAUAUUAAAGUUGUUGCAGUUAAAAAGCUCGUAGUUGAACCUUGGGCCUGGCUGGCCGGUCCGCCUCACCGCGUGCACUGGUCCGGCCGGGCCUUUCCUUCUGGGGAGCCGCAUGCCCUUCACUGGGUGUGUCGGGGAACCAGGACUUUUACUUUGAAAAAAUUAGAGUGUUCAAAGCAGGCCUAUGCUCGAAUACAUUAGCAUGGAAUAAUAGAAUAGGACGUGUGGUUCUAUUUUGUUGGUUUCUAGGACCGCCGUAAUGAUUAAUAGGGAUAGUCGGGGGCAUCAGUAUUCAAUUGUCAGAGGUGAAAUUCUUGGAUUUAUUGAAGACUAACUACUGCGAAAGCAUUUGCCAAGGAUGUUUUCAUUAAUCAGUGAACGAAAGUUAGGGGAUCGAAGACGAUCAGAUACCGUCGUAGUCUUAACCAUAAACUAUGCCGACUAGGGAUCGGGCGAUGUAUUUUUUUGACUCGCUCGGCACCUUACGAGGAAAUCAAAGUCUUUGGGUUCUGAG